CNGAGACGGUAAUGCUGUGUGGCCUG
rnacentral:piRNA from 1 species